ACAGAUCAUAUUCAUAAAUUGAAAGCCUCACAACAGAGCCAACCGACUCUUAUUAAAUUACAAAAGGAAAGAAAACACAGAGGAAGCAAAUAACAUACACAAAGAGGCAUUAUAGAUCCAGUUUUAUUAAACCUCAAAAUAAAACACAAGCAACUUCACCAACAAGAAGCAAGGAGAAGGAAUCAUCUUUAACCCGGGAGUGAAAACUUGGCAAGAGUCUCCUUCCACGCAGGACGGCUGCUAAUAUCAUCCCACCACGCACUCACGUGCUUCCUAUCUUUGAUCAUGUAAGCCUUCCCAAUAGGACCAACCAAGUAAUCAGUGAAGGGGAGGUGAGCCAAAUCAGCCAAACUCACGAAAUCACCGGCCAAGUACUUGCUCUUCGAGAGAUGUGCCUCGUAGACAUCAAGAACAGCGGAUAGUUGCGCUUCACUAUCCUUAAUCACCUUCUCA